rnacentral:tRNA from 1 species
CUACUUGUAGUGUAAACAGCAAAGCACGCUAGAUUUUCAGCCUGGCAGUAUAUCAAUCCUUUAUCAAGUAGU